rnacentral:rRNA from 1 species
CGACGAGUGGCGAACGGGUGAGUAAUACAUCGGAACGUGUCCGCCCGUGGGGGACAACCAGCCGAAAGGUUGGCUAAUACCGCAUGAGUUCUACGGAAGAAAGAGGGGGACCCGCAAGGGCCUCUCGCGAGCGGAGCGGCCGAUGACUGAUUAGCCGGUUGGUGAGGUAACGGCUCACCAAAGCAACGAUCAGUAGCUGGUCUGAGAGGACGACCAGCCACACUGGGACUGAGACACGGCCCAGACUCCUACGGAAGGCAGCAG